CGACCAGUUCGUCAUCCUUGGAUUGUGAUUUUCCGAAAUAAAAUUUUAUGAAUAGAAUAUCACAGUCCUGCUUAGGUGACGAAUUUCG
rnacentral:pre_miRNA from 1 species